AUUAUUAGUAACCUUUUCCAAGAAUAAAUGAAAUGAAGAUAUUAGCACGGCAUUUAUAAAUGUUAAUGGCGAAGCACUUCCAAACUACCAGUAACUUUGCAGAGAUUCAAGGAAGGGUUUUAUAUUUAAUGUAUUGCAGUAAUGUUAAAUCUUUUUAAUAUGUUAAAUAUUUAAAUUAAGUACUUAAUUUCAACUUCCAGAGAACAAAGAUCUACAAAACAGAAAAAAUGAAUUUGUGUAGAAAAUAUGUUGGUAUUUUAAUGCUAAAAAUUAUUUAGUGGAUUUAAUCCAAGCGUGGUUAUUGAGAAAAAGAUUAGAAAAGUGUGGGUCUCAAGUUUUAAAUUUGAGUUUUCUUUUUUUUUUUUUGAGACGGAGUUUCGCUCUUGUUACCCAGGCUGGAGUGCAAUGGCGCGAUCUCGGCUCACCGCAACCUCCGCCUCCUGGGUUCAGGCAAUUCUCCUGCCUCAGCCUCCUGAAUAGCUGCGAUUACCGGCACGUGCCACCAUGCCCAGCUAAUUUUUUGUAUUUUUAGUAGAGACGGGGUUUCACCAUGUUGACCAGGAUGGUCUCGAUCUGUUGACCUCGUGAACCACCCGCCUCGGCCUCCCAAAGUGCUGGGAUUACAGGCUUGAGCCACCGCGCCCAGCCAAGUUUUCUUAUUGUAUAAAAUUAGUGUAAAAUAUUUAAAUUAAGUAUUCAAUUUAAAUAUUUAAUAUAUUACAUUAUAAAAUAUAAGUGUAUAACUAAUAUACAUAAUAAAUGCAUUUUAUAUAUAUACAUUUUCUUUAUAAUUUUUUUAAGUAAAAGUAGAGACAGAAUUUUACUAUGUUGCCCAGGCUGAUCUCAAUCUUCUGAUCUCAUGCUUCGACUACAAACCAUUUCUUCCUCAGUUCAGCUAUUAUCUGUUGGUCAUUUCUACCUGAUGUCUCUGCCUCCUUUGCUGUUUGUCUAUAUUCUUCAAAUUAUGUUUGAAAUAUUGUGGUCUCUUAUACUUUCUGCAAAUCCUUAGUGAUCUUUCUUCAGAAAAUUUA
rnacentral:lncRNA from 1 species